rnacentral:tRNA from 1 species
GCCUUCGUGGUGUAGUGAUCAGCACGCUCGACGCGUAUUCGAGAGGUCGUGGGUUCGAGUCCCGGCGAGGGUA